rnacentral:lncRNA from 1 species
UGCUGUUGUGUUACACUAGGUGAGGAGGGGGCUAGCCUAGAGGCUUGCUUUUUGUUUAACCAGUGACUCUUCCUAUGGUGUGACAGACAGGACUGGCUAAUGAAGAUAGUGAGAAGAUCUACAUAGAGGAGUGUUGGGCAGCCACCUCAUGGCCUGGUCUAGAUAAGUUAAAUGAAGCUGGAAUGGGUCAACGUAAUUUAUAUAAUUAAACACCCAGUGUGAGAUGUUCCAGAGCUGAGAGACUUAAUAGAAGUAGGAUCCAGCAUGUAGGAACCAAGCAAGUCGUAUAACCCAAAUUGGUGCUAAGCACAUUUAUACCAAAGAUGGAAUGUUAGAUUCAAUGGGAGGGAGAUUGUUGAGUCUUUAUCAAAGUUGAUACUGAAUCUG